UGGUGAGGGACCUUGUCAAAGGCUUUCUGAAAAUCCAAGUGUGCUAUAUCAACUGGAUCCAUAUGCUUAUUGACUCCCUCAAAGAAUUCUAAUAGAUUGUGUAAUACCAUGGCACUGAGGUUCAAAACAUGUUAAGUCCAGAACAAUCAAUACCUCAGAGAAUAAAGCUAAACUAAAUUCAUCCAGAGAAGACAAUGCCUUUGCAUGGAUCUACCCCAUGGAACAGCCUGCCUGGUUCAAAUAUGAUAAAUCUGACCUGCAGAUUGAACAGAAAAUUCCUCAAAGUGUAAACGAUUCAAGCAAAAGCAAACCAACUUGUCAAAGACUGAGAAAAGUUCCACCAGACAAGACUUUACAUGUGUUAUAGCAGAGAAGCAGUCUCUGCUAUAACGGUCUCCAUUACUGCUUUAGCCUAGGGCUUAAAACAUUUGUUGACACAGUCCAAUUAAGGGCAGCUUGUACUAGUGCUUUUAAAGUAAGUGCUACCAGGUGCUAGUGGCUUCAAAGAUUCAUCUUCCAUUCUAGUCCUCUUUCCUCCGUCCCCAACAUGAUCUCAUCUGCAAAAGUGUUUGCAUUUUGAAAGAUAAAUUGGAAGCUGUGGGUGUCCAGAGGAGCCUGCUUCAUCUAUAGGAAUGUGAUUAGAAUCAGCCAGUGGAAAGUGCAGCUACUUAAUGCUUCCUAAUCUAUGAAAGGAUAUGGAGCUCCUAGGAGACGUCAAUCAUGUUUAGAAAAAAAAGAUUAAAA